rnacentral:tRNA from 1 species
UGGCUCAAUGGUAGAGUGCUUGCCUUGUAUGCAUGAGACCUUGGGUUCAAUUCCUCA